rnacentral:rRNA from 1 species
GAUUGAACGCUGGCGGCAUGCCUUACACAUGCAAGUCGAACGGCAGCGCGGACUUCGGUCUGGCGGCGAGUGGCGAACGGGUGAGUAAUACAUCGGAACGUACCCUGUUGUGGGGGAUAACUAGUCGAAAGAUUAGCUAAUACCGCAUACGACCUGAGGGUGAAAGUGGGGGACCGGAAACGGCCUCAUGCAGCAGGAGCGGCCGAUGUCUGAUUAGCUAGUUGGUGGGGUAAAGGCCCACCAAGGCGACGAUCAGUAGCUGGUCUGAGAGGACGAUCAGCCACACUGGGACUGAGACACGGCCCAGACUCCUACGGGAGGCAGCAGUGGGGAAUUUUGGACAAUGGGGGCAACCCUGAUCCAGCAAUGCCGCGUGUGUGAAGAAGGCCUUCGGGUUGUAAAGCACUUUUGUCCGGAAAGAAAUCGCGCUGGUUAAUACCUGGCGUGGAUGACGGUACCGGAAGAAUAAGCACCGGCUAACUACGUG